UACGUAGGGUCCAAGCGUUGUCCGGAAUUAUUGGGCGUAAAGAGCUCGUAGGCGGUCUGUCGCGUCCGUUGUGAAACUCGAGGCUCAACCUCGGGCUUGCAGUGGAUACGGCAGACUAGAGUGCGGUAGGGAGACUGGAAUCCUGGUGUAGCGGUGAAAUGCGCAGAUAAUCAGGAGGACACCGAUGGCGAAGGCAGGUC
rnacentral:rRNA from 1 species